rnacentral:lncRNA from 10 species
GUUUUCCUUGUGACUCAAAUGAGGAAGAAUAAACUUGGUUUAGGACUAUUCAAUGCCAGUGUUUUCAGAUGGCUCCACCAGCAGAGAACAGAGAAGGGGAGAAGAGGAAAAGCAGCUGGACGUCGGGGACUGCGGUUUGACGUCGGAGAGAAGCAGCUUGACUUCAGAGGGACAGCUUGACCGCUUUGCUUUGGAGAGGAGUCUGGCUGGGGAUGGCUGGACUCCAGGGGAAGAUCGUCUUCCUGUUCCAUCCCUUUUCCAGCUCCCCUCCCACUGAGAGCCACUUUCAUUGGCAAU